UACGUAGGGUGCAAGCGUUGUCCGGAAUUAUUGGGCGUAAAGAGCUCGUAGGCGGUUUGUCGCGUCGGCUGUGAAAACCCGAGGCUCAACCUCGGGCCUGCAGUCGAUACGGGCAACUAGAGUGUGGUAGGGGAGACGUGGAAUUCCUGGUGGUAGCGGUGAAAUGCGCAGAUAUCAGGAGGAACACCGGCGGCGAAGGCGGGUCUCUGGGCCAUGAACUGACGCUGAGGAGCGAAAGCGUGGGGAGCGAACAGG
rnacentral:rRNA from 1 species